rnacentral:rRNA from 1 species
UACGUAGGGUGCAAGCGUUAAUCGGAAUUACUGGGCGUAAAGCGUGCGCAGGCGGUUCGUUAAGUCUGUCGUGAAAUCCCCGGGCUCAACCUGGGAAUGGCGAUGGAUACUGGCGAGCUAGAGUGUGUCAGAGGAUGGUGGAAUUCCCGGUGUAGCGGUGAAAUGCGUAGAGAUCGGGAGGAACAUCAGUGGCGAAGGCGGCCAUCUGGGACAACACUGACGCUGAAGCACGAAAGCGUGGGGAGCAAACAGG